rnacentral:lncRNA from 1 species
GUGUUCAAUUUCUUCUUCCUCUUCUUCCCUGAAUUUUUGUGCAUUGUUCUGUUCGCCGUUUGGAUCCUGUAUUUUCCGCAACAAUUGGUAUCAGAGCCUCAGGUUAUAUUUCCUGCGGCCGUGGGCGGUGCUCUUCACGUGGGGAGAUCAGAGGCGUCUUCUCCCAAGCCGAGGAAAGGCAAGAGGUUUUUUUUUCUCCCGGUGGGUUCUCUCUCGAACGCCGUGAAGAACCAAGAGAAGAGA